rnacentral:rRNA from 2 species
GUGCCAGCAGCCGCGGUAAUACGAAGGGUGCAAGCGUUACUCGGAAUUACUGGGCGUAAAGCGUGCGUAGGUGGUUCGUUAAGUCUGAUGUGAAAGCCCUGGGCUCAACCUGGGAACUGCAUUGGAUACUGGCGAUCUGGAGUGCGGUAGAGGGUGGCGGAAUUCCCGGUGUAGCAGUGAAAUGCGUAGAUAUCGGGAGGAACAUCCGUGGCGAAGGCGGCCACCUGGACCAGCACUGACACUGAGGCACGAAAGCGUGGGGAGCAAACAGGAUUAGAUACCCUGGUAGUCC